rnacentral:rRNA from 1 species
CGAACACGGAAGUUAAGACCUCCAGGGCCGAUGAUACUUGGGGCGCAAGCCCCUGGGAAAGUAGGUCAUCGCCAGGU